GCAUUCUGGAAAUGGAUUCAGGCUAACAGAGUGUUCUGAAUAGAGACGCCUAAAACAAGAGCCAAAGACAUAGCAACGGAGAACGUGGGUGGUACAGCCCUCCACCCUGGCGAGCAGCACGUUAGAAUCACAUAGGAGCUUAAAAAGUACUGACUGGCCUGGUCUUUUUUGGUGUGAAGGCAGUUGGACCACCCAAAUGGCAAACUAAAAGCAUAGAAGCGGACACCAGAGGCUCCUGGACCUGAGAUGUGGCCCUGGAAGUGACCAGAUGUGGUCUCAAGAGAUGCGGGCCCAGGGCUAGGAAUGCCGCCAUCCGGGGAGGCCCUAGAGCAGAGCAGAGCAGCUGUGGGCUGGCGCCAAGCUCACUCCUGCUUCUCUCUGCACGUCUCCUUCAUUCUUUUCUCUCUGAACUGUGACCCUUUUGGCCCCUCUGGGUACCAGGUGGGACAAGGUGACCCAUCAGCACUUGAGUUUACACCUUAGAUGUGUAGGUCCUCACAGAAGCCAACUUGUCUCCUUCUGGGACCAAAUUCCAAAUUCCUAAAAAAAAAAAAAAAAUCAAAAACGGAUAUGAUAAGC
rnacentral:lncRNA from 1 species